rnacentral:rRNA from 1 species
AUACGUAGGAGACAAGCGUUAUCCGGAUUUACUGGGCGUAAAGGGCGUGUAGGCGGUCUUGCAAGUCAGAAGUGAAAUUCCUGAGCUCAACUCGGGCGCUGCUUCUGAAACUGCAGGACUUGAGUGCUGGAGGGGAUAGCGGAAUUCCUAGUGGAGCGGUAAAAUGCGCAGAUAUUAGGAAGAACACCGGUGGCGAAGGCGGCUAUCUGGACAGUAACGGACGCUGAGGCGCGAAAGUGUGGGGAGCAAACAGGAUUAGAUACCCUGGUAGUCCACACUGUAAACGAUGAAUGCUAGGUGUAAGAGGUAUCGACCCCUUUUGUGCCGGAGUCAACACAAUAAGCAUUCCGCCUGGGGAGUACGGCCGCAAGGUUGAAACUCAAAGGAAUUGACGGGG